AUGUACAUCCCUACAACAUAGCGUUAAUGCACUAGAUCCCAUUAGAACUCCGCAGUUAAGCCCACUCAGGCUAGAGUAGUACUGGGAUGGGUGAGAUCUCAGGAAGUCCUAGUGUUUUAUAUG
rnacentral:rRNA from 1 species